rnacentral:rRNA from 1 species
AUUGAACGCUGGCGGCAGGCUUAACACAUGCAAGUCGAGCGGGGUGAUGGUGCUUGCACUAUCACUUAGCGGCGGACGGGUGAGUAAUGCUUAGGAAUCUGCCUAUUAGUGGGGGACAACAUCUCGAAAGGGAUGCUAAUACCGCAUACGUCCUACGGGAGAAAGCAGGGGAUCACUUGUGACCUUGCGCUAAUAGAUGAGCCUAAGUCGGAUUAGCUAGUUGGUGGGGUAAAGGCCUACCAAGGCGACGAUCUGUAGCGGGUCUGAGAGGAUGAUCCGCCACACUGGGACUGAGACACGGCCCAGACUCCUACGGGAGGCAGCAGUGGGGAAUAUUGGACAAUGGGGGGAACCCUGAUCCAGCCAUGCCGCGUGUGAAGAAGGCCUUAUGGUUGUAAAGCACUUUAAGCGAGGAGGAGGCUCUUUUGGUUAAUACCCAAGAUGAGUGGACGUUACUCGCAGAAUAAGCACCGGCUAACUCUGUGCCAGCCGCCGCAGUAA